GACGAACGCUGGCGGCGUGCUUAACACAUGCAAGUCGAACGGAAAGGCCCUGCUUUUGUGGGGUGCUCGAGUGGCGAACGGGUGAGUAACACGUGAGUAACCUGCCCUUGACUUUGGGAUAACUUCAGGAAACUGGGGCUAAUACCGGAUAGGAGCUCCUGCUGCAUGGUGGGGGUCGGAAAGUUUCGGCGGUUGGGGAUGGACUCGCGGCUUAUCAGCUUGUUGGUGGGGUAGUGGCUUACCAAGGCUUUGACGGGUAGCCGGCCUGAGAGGGUGACCGGCCACAUUGGGACUGAGAUACGGCCCAGACUCCUACGGGAGGCAGCAGUGGGGAAUAUUGCACAGUGGGCGGAAGCCUGAUGCAGCAACGCCGCGUGCGGGAUGACGGCCUUCGGGUUGUAAACCGCUUUCGCCUGUGACGAAGCGUGAGUGACGGUAAUGGGUAAAGAAGCACCGGCUAACUACGUG
rnacentral:rRNA from 1 species